UGCUGAAGCAAGAAACUUUAAGCCUGUGGGUAGAGUCUCACUCUGUCACCCAGGUUGAAGUGCUGUGAUGUGAUCAUAGCUCACUGUAGCCUCAAUCUCCCAGGCUCAAGUGAUCCUCCAGCAUCAGCCUUUUGAGUAGCUGGGACUACAGGAUGAACCUAACCAGUUGGCAGUGCCUCGUACUCUGUGAUGGAUUUUCCGAAGACCAAAUGUACCAUUUUCUUGUCUUUUCAAAGAGAGCCACACAGGAAGGAAAACAAGAAAUUCAACUUUUAAGCUGGGCUAUUCAUGGCCUUUGCUAAAUCCUGGCAGAAUUUCACAGUUUUUCAUUAACGAUUCAUCUCACUGAUUUCCUAAUGGAAUGAACUGGCCUUUUCAUUAAGGCCGUAGGGAAGUGAAGCUGAGUUACCCAAUCAUUAAGUGUUGUUAUCUGAUGAGUGAAAAAUGGGUUACUUUUCAA
rnacentral:lncRNA from 1 species